rnacentral:tRNA from 1 species
UGAUGUCAGCUAAAUAAGCUAAUGGGUUCAUACCUCAUAAAUAGGAUUAUCUUGGCUCAA